rnacentral:hammerhead_ribozyme from 1 species
AUCCAGCUGACGAAUCACAGAUAAGACUAAACGUGCGUCGUGCAU